GAGUCACCGCAGCCGCCACUCAGGGGCCCCGGGGCAUUGGGGGUCAGGACCCGGUGGGAGCUGAAUCCCUAAGUCCUGAUUUGGAGAGCAACAGGCAGACCGGGCUGGGUGAGGAGGCGUCUCAAUGCUGCUUGGAGCCUCAGUUUCCCCAUCCACACUGCAUAACCAUUAACCCUUGCCUCCCUGGAUCAGGUGAGGCAAUGGAACGCGACGGGGUGUUGUAAACUGUAAAGUACUGUCCUGGCGGACCACUGGCACGUGUCCUCAGUCAGUCAGUGGGGGCUGGCUCUCUGAUGUGUGCCUGGAGCUGUGCAGGGGGUGCUGGCCUGGCCUCAGAACACUUAGGUUUGGGUGGUUCUUGCCAGCCAGGACCAGGUGGUGUGCAUGCCACGCCGGUGGUGUGCAAGCCAAGCCUGGCUGAGUCCUUGGCUCCAGCGGCCAGAGAGGAGCUUUCGGCAUCCUAUCCAGGAGCCUUCGGAAAUCAGGCUUGUUCUUCCCGCCCUCACGUUCUGCAACCCUAGACCUUGGCCAAUUGUUGAGUCUCACCUAUAAAAUAAGGACAACAGUGUCCUUAUUUUAUAGGACAAGGUUUAUGAGAUUUGUUUUCCCCCAAGACCCCCACCCAUCUGUCACCCUGACCGUGCCCUGGUCCUCUGCUCCAUCUGAAACUGUAAAUGGAACUUUCACGUAUCAAGCUUCUGUCCUGGGCUGGGCCGUGGGGAAGGGGGUUCCCAACACAUCUUCUAGACUCACAGCAGCCCCUUGAGACUUCAGAGGAGGAGUCACAGAGAGGGAGAGACACUUAUCCAGGCUCACACAGCAACACAGCAGAACUAAAACCUACCUCUGGAAGUCUCCAAAGCACCUAUCAUGUUAAAAAUGUUUUGUUUUGGAGAAUAUUGAACAUACACAAAAAUAGACAGAAUUGUUUAAUAAAUUCCUAUGUCCUCAUCACCCAGCACUGACCACCGUGGUGUCUCCUGCCCCUGCGCACCUUCAU
rnacentral:lncRNA from 1 species